rnacentral:rRNA from 1 species
CACGUAGGGGACGAGCGUUGUCCGGAUUCAUUGGGCGUAAAGCGCGCGUAGGCGGCUCGGAAAGUCGGGCGUGAAAUGCCGGGGCUCAACCCCGGGACUGCGUCCGAUACUUCCGAGCUGGAGGUAGGUAGGGGAGAUCGGAAUUCCUGGUGUAGCGGUGAAAUGCGCAGAUAUCAGGAGGAACACCGGUGGCGAAGGCGGAUCUCUGGGCCUUACCUGACGCUGAGGCGCGAAAGCUAGGGGAGCGAACAGGAUUAGAACCGGUACCGUC